UCUUCUAAAUGGCAGGUCUUGCUGCUCCGYGGGGCUAGAAAGGAAACCUGUCACUCACCGCUGUGCUUUGAAUGGCACGACUCUGUCUGCACACCCGCCCUCCCUCCWGUAUGGGACAAAACACUUGCUCCAAGCACACYGACUGUCUYCUUCACUGCAGCUUGCUCUUAGUAGCACAGGCAGUAAACAAAAGGGCAGGAGGAAUGUUCUCAUCCUCCUGRUGGUGAUACUGGUGGAUACUGGUGAUGAGAGGAGCUCUGUAAAGAAUAGACAUGGGAUUUAGUAAGGUACUAAGGUUGUCUCUUGACCUACUAAAGGACACACCUGAAGAACACUGAACGAGAUCCAAACUUAAAAGGUCUUCAUUAUCCUUUUC